rnacentral:rRNA from 1 species
AGCGAACGCUGGCGGCAGGCUUAACACAUGCAAGUCGAGCGGACCUUUCGGGGUCAGCGGCGGACGGGUGAGUAACGCGUGGGAACGUGCCUUCCGGUUCGGAAUAACCCUGGGAAACUAGGGCUAAUACCGGAUACGCCCCUAUGGGGCAAGGUUUACUGCCGGAAGAUCGGCCCGCGUCCGAUUAGCUGGUUGGUGGGGUAACGGCCUACCAAGGCGACGAUCAGUAGCUGGUCUGAGAGGAUGAGCAGCCACACUGGGACUGAGACACGGCCCAGACUCCUAGGGGAGGCAGCAGUGGGUAAUAUUGGACUAUGGGCUCAAGCCUGAUCCAGCCAUGCCGCGUGAGUGAUGAAGGCCUUAGAGUUGUAAAGCUCUUUUAUCCGGGACGAUAAUGACGGUACCGGAGGAAUAAGCCCCGGCUAACUUCGUG